rnacentral:rRNA from 1 species
CCUACGGGAGGCAGCAGUGGGGAAUAUUGCACAAUGGGGGAAACCCUGAUGCAGCGACGCCGCGUGAGUGAAGAAGGAUUUCGGUACGUAAAGCUCUGUCAGCAGGGAAGAAAAUGACGGUACCUGACUACGAAGCCCCGGCUAACUACGUGCCAGCAGACGCGGGAAUACGUAGGGGGCAAGCGUUAUCCGGAUUGACUGGGGGUAAAGGGAGCGGAGACGGCAGAGCAAGUCUGGAGUGAAAGCCCAGGGCUUAACCAGGGACCUGCUUUGGAAACUGUGCAGCUUGAGUGCAGGAGAGGUGAGCGGAAGUCCUAGUGUAGCGGUGAAAUGCGUAGGUAUUAGGAGGAACACCAGUGGCGAAGGCGGCUUACUGGACUGUAACUGACGUUGAGGCGCGAAAGCGUGGGGAGCAAACAGGAUUAGAUUCCCUAGUAGUC